UGGGAAAUGAUUUGGCAGAUAAGGCCACUAA
rnacentral:piRNA from 1 species